ensembl:lncRNA
GUUUGUAAGAGGCAGGAGAGCACUGACAAAGAGAGGUAUCGAGAUAAAACACUUCCCUGUUUACCGGAGUGAAAUAAGUGUCUUUGUGUCUUGUAUAUUGUGCCUGUUUUUGUGUGCUUGUUUGGUUUUGCUUUGUUUGGUACGGCUAGCUAUGUACUUAGCUGCGGGCUGAGUGCCUGGGCCUAGUUUGGGGCCUGGCUUGGGUCUGGAGAGGGUGCCGAUAUUUGGGCCUAAUCGGCCAAGCAGGUGCCUAGGGUGCCAGGUUACUCAAGUCCCGUGGCUUUUGGAUAUUUGCUACCUCAUGAAAACAUAAUCCAGAUGGCUGUCCUUUUUGGCCUUUAUCCCAUUCACCUUUUCCUCCAAUUCACAGGAACUUGGUCAUUCACAUACCUUGAUGGGAUCAACUGGGCUCAUCUGUGGAUGAGUACUGCUGUAACACAAAAAUUGAACUUAAACUUAUACAUUAUAACAUUAAUAGGAAUGAUUGGCAGCAACAUACUUUUUCACCUUCAAGAAUAUUUCUCUCAGCACGACCACUCAGGAUAUGCCCUUUGGACAAUAUUUCUUCCUAUUGCAUACCCUUUGUACAUACUGGUACAUUUAUAUUGCAUUAGUGAAAUAUAUGGAAACACACCAGAUCACACUGAAUUUAUAUUCGGGAAUGCCUUUCUUCUCAUUUUGACUGCUAUUUCUGGCUUUCAGCAUCCGACUAAGCUGCCUGAUAAGCCCCAUAUCAUUCUGUAUAUGUUUGGAGCAGCAGGUUUACCUUCAGUAAACUCACUUGCACUGGCAACAUGUGUAUUGAAAACAAAGGAGGGAGAAGACGAUGUGAAGGAUGUGCUAAAGGAUGUGAAUGUGAUCAGCCUGAUUUCUGAAAGUAUCUUCCUCACUGGGUGGCUUGCUUUACUGAUUUAUGAAUACUGGAUCAGAAGUAGAGAAAUAAUAAACCGUCAGUUGAAAAACCUUUAUCAACGGUCAAAGGCUGUGGAUGUGGCUGAGGCUCAUGAGAUGGAGACUUUGUCUGGUUUCACAAAUCCCCCGGAGGUUAAUGUGGCUGAGUCAACCAAAGGAAUCUGAAAAAAAAAUAAACACAUGUUGGACAAAGG